rnacentral:lncRNA from 1 species
AGAGAUCAAGUACAUAAAGGGCAAUAACGUAUGCAUAUUAUCGCAUUGCUUGAAUAUACGAAAUUCAUUAGUUGCAAAUGAAUAUUUAAGACCGAUAGGGAUUUGAAAUGUGAUAUGGAGAGGUACAAGACCUGUAUUCUUGUUAAAGUCUUUACAUAGAAAGAAUGCAUCGAUUAUAAAGAGUUUUCUCUCUGAUUUCAUCGAAAGACUCUUUCAAAAUUAUAAUGGUUUUAGUGGUGCAUUUUGAU